rnacentral:rRNA from 1 species
AUGGAGAUGUGCAGGCUCAUGGAGCAGGUUGUGUUCUCGGAUCCAUACAUGGCCUCUAAAUACACUUGCUGGGAUUCGCCUCUUCUUGACGCUGAAGCGGUUCGAGAGGAUGAUGGUUUUGGAACGUGCUCGUUGGUCUGCCGGUCAUUUGAUUUGUGCCAGCUUGCUACUCCUCGUCCACCACCUUGCAGGUCGACCUCUUUUCUUUUCCCCUUCUCUGCUUUUAGGCUAGGCUUGAAUUUUUGCAGCCAUGUGAUGCCUGCGUGUAAUAUGUUGACCUCCACUUCUGGUUCCACUUCUCCGCCGCUGCCCCACCGUCCAGGUCCAGCCCCACUCCCCCGUCACUCCUCCUACGUCCUCUGCAGGUGCUCCCCCAUCACUCCCCCUUCUCCUCCAUGGUCUACUGCAGGUUCUCUCCUCUCUCUGACCGCUGCUCCAUCCAUCAUCUUGGAACUGCAGGAGAAGAAUGUGUUAUGUUGGGCUCGGACUAUGUUGACAGCCAUCUUGGCCAGCAAGAGGAUGCUCACCUGCUUCGUCUUCCUCACCAGUCGGCUCUUAUUAACCAAUGAUGAUGUAUCUUCAAGAUUUACCAUGAAUCUCAGCAAUCAGCCUUUUAAAGAGGUGUUCAUGAGUGAUGUACAGCUGCACACAAGGAUUUGUGCCAUGUGGCACUAUCCGUUCAAAGAAAUGCUUUAUCCUGCUGCAAGAGACCUGGAUGACUACCUAGGAUUUAGAUGUGUUAGACCAGACCCCAAGAUAUAUCAUGCGCUCAAUGCUAAAGAGGUAUAUUGCCAAGGAGCAAUCAUAUAUGGCCAGGCCAUGCUAAGGCCAAGGACGGUGGCUGCCACCACACGCAUUUAUUUCUGGAUCUGCGAUGACCAUGUUAUAAUCAUCUCCUUCAGCCACGAGGACAGGGUUAGCCUUUUUGAUUGGGUGACAAAAACAUUCUUAUCAUUAAAGCUCAAGCUCAAGGCAUCACUCAAAACAGAGUUUUUGCAUCCUUGGUCUAAAUGCCACCAUCGCGUCAUGGAAUUCUCUCCCUUUAGUGUGACAACAAGAGAAGAAAGGGUGUAA